rnacentral:rRNA from 1 species
AUGGCUCACCAAGGCGACGACGGGUAGCCGGCCUGAGAGGGCGACCGGCCACACUGGGACUGAGACACGGCCCAGACUCCUACGGGAGGCAGCAGUGGGGAAUAUUGCACAAUGGGCGAAAGCCUGAUGCAGCGACGCCGCGUGAGGGAUGACGGCCUUCGGGUUGUAAACCUCUUUCAGCAGGGAAGAAGCGAAAGUGACGGUACCUGCAGAAGAAGCGCCGGCUAACUACGUGCCAGCAGCCGCGGUAAUACGUAGGGCGCAAGCGUUGUCCGGAAUUAUUGGGGCGUAAAGAGCUCGUAGGCGGCUUGUCACGUCGGUUGUGAAAGCCCGAGGCUUAACCUCGGGUCUGCAGUCGAUACGGGCAGGCUAGAGUGUGGUAGGGGAGAUCGGAAUUCCUGGUGUAGCGGUGAAAUGCGCAGAUAUCAGGAGGAACACCGGUGGCGAAGGCGGAUCUCUGGGCCAUUACUGACGCUGAGGAGCGAAAAGCGUGGGGAGCGAACAGGAUUAGAUACCCUGGUAGUCCACGCCGUAAAACGGUGGGGAAACUAGGUGUUGGCGACAUUUCCACGUUCGUCGG